UGGAAACAAGUGCUAAUACCGCAUAAUUAGUUGGAACCGCAUGGUUCCAACUUGAAAGAUGGCUCUGCUAUCACUUUGGGAUGGACCCGCGCCGUAUUAGUUAGUUGGUGAGAUAAAAGCCCACCAAGACGAUGAUACGUAGCCGACCUGAGAGGGUAAUCGGCCACAUUGGGACUGAGACACGGCCCAGACUCCUACGGGAGGCAGCAGUAGGGAAUCUUCCACAAUGGACGAAAGUCUGAUGGAGCAACGCCGCGUGAGUGAUGAAGGUUUUCGGAUCGUAAAACUCUGUUGUUAAAGAAGAACAAGUGUUAGAGUAACUGUUAACACUUUGACGGUAUUUAACCAGAAAGCCACGGCUAACUACGUGCCAGCAGCCGCGGUAAUACGUAGGUGGCAAGCGUUGUCCGGAUUUAUUGGGCGUAAAGCGAGCGCA
rnacentral:rRNA from 1 species